rnacentral:rRNA from 1 species
UACAGAGGGUGCAAGCGUUAAUCGGAAUUACUGGGCGUAAAGGGCGCGUAGGCGGUUUGUUAAGUUGACUGUGAAAUCCCCGGGCUCAACCUGGGAACUGCAUCCAAAACUGGCGAGCUAGAGUGUGGUAGAGGGGAGUGGAAUUUCCUGUGUAGCGGUGAAAUGCGUAGAUAUAGGAAGGAACACCAGUGGCGAAGGCGACUACCUGGACUGAUACUGACACUGAGGUGCGAAAGCGUGGGGAGCAAACAGG